GGGAAUGUAGCUCAGUGGUAGAGUGCUUGCCUAACAUGCAGGAAGCCCUAAGUUCAAUCUCAGCACCACCA
rnacentral:tRNA from 1 species